rnacentral:rRNA from 1 species
CCUACGGGAGGCAGCAGUGGGGAAUAUUGGACAAUGGGGGCAACCCUGAUCCAGCCAUGCCGCGUGUGUGAAGAAGGCCCUCGGGUUGUAAAGCACUUUCAGUGAGGAAGAACGCCUGGUGGUUAAUACCCAUCAGGAAAGACAUCACUCACAGAAGAAGCACCGGCUAACUCCGUGCCAGCAGCCGCGGUAAUACGGAGGGUGCGAGCGUUAAUCGGAAUUACUGGGCGUAAAGCGCGCGUAGGUGGCUUGAUAAGCCGGUUGUGAAAGCCCCGGGCUCAACCUGGGAACGGCAUCCGGAACUGUCAAGCUAGAGUGCAGGAGAGGAAGGUAGAAUUCCCGGUGUAGCGGUGAAAUGCGUAGAGAUCGGGAGGAAUACCAGUGGCGAAGGCGGCCUUCUGGACUGACACUGACACUGAGGUACGAAAGCGUGGGUAGCAAACAGGAUUAGAUACCCUGGUAGUC